rnacentral:rRNA from 1 species
AAUAAACGCUGGCGGCGUGCCUAACACAUGCAAGUCGUACGAGAAAGUCUGCUUCGGUGGGCGAGUAAAGUGGCGCACGGGUGAGUAACGCGUGGAUAAUCUACCCUUAAGUCCGGAAUAACUUAUCGAAAGGUGAACUAAUACCGGAUGAUACUGCAUAACUACUGUUGUGUAGUCAAAGAAGGCCUCUGCUUGCAAGCUUUCGCUGAAGGAUGAGUCCGCGUACCAUUAGCUAGUUGGUAGGGUAAUGGCCUACCAAGGUUAUGAUGGUUAGCUGGUCUGAGAGGAUGAUCAGCCACACUGGAACUGAAACACGGUCCAGACUCCUACGGGAGGCAG